CUUGGAUUCAGUUCCAGCAAACAAAAGCUGCCCUGUCCACUUCAUCCCCAGAUGUUUUGUAUUGAUCUCCCUGUGGUUUUGGCAGGGUGGAACGUCUGGGAUUGUUGCUCCCCUUUUCUCUUUUUUCUUUGCAGACAGAAUUAGAAAACAAAGGAGAAGGAAAAGUCUGCGAGUGUUUUUGGCUCAACGGUGCAUGUCUACUGGGCGUAGUGUCACAUUUCAGGCAGAAGUGUGGCUGGCCCUGCUCACUUUAUCUCACUCUCUCUCUUCCCCUUACCUGAUCCCUCCCUACACUCCCUGAUUAAUAAUGCAGAGUGUCUCUUUAUCUAAUGUUCGGCUGUAGGUGAGUGCUGCGGAUGAACAGGUGAGGAGUGUGCCUUCGAGGCUCAGAGACCUGGCUGACGGCCUAAUGCUGGGAGGCACGAGGAAGAAAUGGACAGCAGAGAGGGCGUUGGUGAAGUGUUAUGAAGAGCACACCCAUUGUCUCAUUCCAUAUAAGUUAAUAAGUCCCUUUCCAUCCUCUGAAAUGGCAGUGAAGCACUGAAAGAAACAGCUCAAGUGGAACAGCAUGGACCCGAGUAAUGAGUCACUGAGUUGUUUCGCCACUGUGAUCGAAUGCAUUUGGAAGAAUGUGUUUCCUACAAUACUUUUUCAAAGGGCCAUACCACCGCUACUGAAUCUACAGCGUGAAACAGUGUAGUCCAAUAUAGAAUGAACGACUCUGUCAGUAGCUUUAUUUCACUUGAUGAAAAUGAUUGCUUUUUCGUUAAAGUUAACAGUAACGACACUGAACUGGUUUCAAAAGUUAUGAGAACAGCUGGCAGUCUUAGUUAUUUGACUGCCAUAAUACAGUCUGAAGUCUUUAUUGGAUUACAUAACUCUUCUGGCAACAUUUGGAAGCACAAGAUUUGGAAUAAUAUUAUAAGCUCUCUGAUUGGUGAGUAGAUCUUAAUCCCCGCCUACAUUCCACAGUGACUGCUCGCUCUGAGAGCUUCAUGUUUUUCUUGGCUAAUUACACCACUAGCACAUUCCAAUAUCAAUAUCACCAUACGCUCCACAUCAAUAAAACACACAAUUUCUUUCUUACCUGAAUCUGCUCUGCAAUUUCCUUUUGCUCCUAACUCUUUCAGUUUUCAUGAGUCUCUGCUUUAUUUUAGGGGAAGGAAUUUCAUGGUGGUAGUCGGCAAAACAGUCUGAAAGCAAUCUUUUGUUUCAGAGUAUCUUAAUUUAUCAGGAGCAAGAAGUUCGUCAGAGUUUGGAAGACAAAAAUCUCUCAUAUUUUCGAAGUUCUGCCGACAUGCAGUGAAUGGGAUGGGUUUCAUAAAUCUCAGAGCCAAGUUCCUUUAAGUCCAUUGGGGGACCAGGCAUCAGCCGUGACUCAGUCUUUCAAGUGUAACUCGAGCCAGGACAUCUGCAUCGCUGGAGAGGAGGGUACUGAGGCGCUGAUUUGGAACACUCAGCGUCAGGAAUUUUGGCAUGCAGUGAUGCCUAUCAAGCCACUUUGAUUCAGAGAUUCUAAUUUGUUAUUUGUUGCCACAAGAUGUUGUUUUUGUGUUACUGAUUGUCAGUGGAGCCCCUGGUUUUAAGAGGAGACAAGCAAAAAGCUUUCUGUCAUUGUUUUCCUCAGGUGCUUCCAUAGCUAUGCUAAUAUUCACAUCCAGAGGGAAGCUGUGUGUCUGCUGUCGGAGUUCAGCAACAGAUAUCAUUAUUGCAACACCUUGGUAAAAGUUGAGAAUUAUUACACCACUAUGCAAUUUAUUAUUCAUUUGUUUUUCUGUCCUGGGCUUUUAAAUGACAGUUCAUUGGAGAGGUUUUGUGGUCAUUUAGACUCUAACCGCAGUUUGUUUACACUCUUAAAAUUAAAGGUUCUUUAUUGGCAUCUGUGGUUCCACAUAUAACAUCCAGGGAACUUUUCAUUGCACUAAUGAUUCUUUGAGGUGGAAUAGGUUCAAUAAUAUGCUUUACACUAAGAAAAAUUGUUCUUUUAUAAACUAUUCACUGAAAGACUAUUUGGAACCUUUAUUUUUAACUGACUUGGAAAACAUAAUCUCUCUUCAGUUAACUUCACAUUUAGCACUGUAGCGAAAAUAAAAUCUAGGGUGUUGCCAAGGUGUUCUGUGUAGUUGCUAUGUAGCUGUUUAGUGGUGCAUGUCAAAAGUUUUUUCCCCAGCAGGGUGACCAGUGCAUGCAUUUCCCCAGCAAAAAUGACUAUUUCCAGUCUGGUAGUAAUGACUACACAUUCAACUGAUGUGCAUUGCAUUCCUGUGUACAGUAUGUCACUUUGGCGGCUUUCCUUUUACAUGAAGGAAAAAAGCUGAAUAAAAAGUUUCUUACGACAAUUUUUUUUACAUAAUUUUUACACAGAUUUUUGCCCUGAUUUACAGUUUGGAGGAGUCUGAUUUCACACAAAAAAACACAUGGUCAGACUGAUAGCUUCAGACUUUAAUUACCUCCAGUUGGAUGAUAUCAAAUAUGUUUGAUAUUUUGAACCGAUAUUACAAUACUAUUUUAGGCACAGUCUGUCAUCCAUCUAGCAAUGAGGCACAUGUUUCUGCACACAUUUGUUGUGUUUGGAACAAGUUUAAAGCUGUGACAAUGUGAUCCUCAGUUGUUACGUGUACACUGCAGAGUUUUUUGUAAGCCGGUGAGAGUAUGAUGGCUAAAAUCUGUUCAGAUUUUAAAAGUCGUUUAGUGUAUUCUCAAGCCUUAACUUGCACCACAUGAUUUUCUUCAAACUGUUGCUACACCAUAGUAGUAGCAUCAAAAAUGUAAUUUUCAUGCUAAUUCUCUGAAGAAAUUUUAUACCAAUUCUUACUAUAACACCCCUUGCAGCAUCUUGCUUAGCUAGAAAUGCUUGCAUUGAUUUAUUUGCAUAAAACAGGCCUAAUACUUAA
ensembl:lncRNA